rnacentral:lncRNA from 1 species
AGUACUGGACCGGUAGAACCCAGCCCGAGGUGGUGAGCCUCCGUGUUCGAGGUGACCGAGGCGGCAGGGACACUCCGAAAGUGACAAAAGCGAUUAGCAAGUUCCUGUGCAGAAUAUUUUGGACUUUGUACAUUUUCAGUAAAUCAGAGAGAACAAACUCCAUAACAAGAAGGGGAUGCUACUCUGCUCUCCUUAGCUUCCAGCCUCCCAUCUUCUUGAACCAAGAGUCAUGCCUUUGAUUAAGCUGCAGAGUCCCAAUGGAGAGAGAGUUAAUGAUACAACCAGAUACAUGUAACUACAGAGACUAUGUUGGAAGACUUGAAAUGAGAUGAAGUGAGAUGAAGGAGAUGAAGGUAAAAGAGAUGAUGACCCAGUUUCUCUACCAAAUAUUAAUGCGGCAAUAUUGAGGAACAAGCAGUUCAGGAAAGCCCCCACCACAAGGAUGACCCGGCCUUCUGGGGUGAUGGAAGCAUAGGAGAGUGAACGGAGAAUAUUCCCUGUAGGAACAAGAAUUACUGAAAGCCGAGCAAGGAACACUUUUGAACUUAUUCCGUCUUACAGACUUAGAUGCCAAAGAUUGACUUGACGCACUCUGCAAAGCUGUGAGCAACAGCAUGAUGGUGAGAGCU